GUGAUUUGGCUUCGGCCUUUAUCCAAUCCAAACCUCUGUGCUCUGGCCCUCUGUGGCCGUCAAACAUUGUGUAAUAAACGUCAUAUAACAAAACAAAACA
rnacentral:misc_RNA from 1 species